UCCCCGUGACCUCCGACCCCUCCCAGACCACGGCCGGAAGUGACGUCAACCCCCACCGGAAGUGUCGGGGGGCCCUUUCCGCGUUCAAUAAAGGCCGCGGCCGCCCUCCCCGUUCCCGCCGCACCGCGCAUGCGCAGAGUCCCUUUCAUCCUCACUGAGCAUGCGCAACUCCCCCCCGCUCUCGCGAAGUGCGCAUGCGCAGCUUUGCGUUCCUUCCUACUGCGCAUGCGCUCGCUUGCCUGUUGCUAAGCAGCCACCCCAUUCCCAUUCCCAACUACGCAUGCGCCGUUGCUAGGCGACGGCCCUCGGUCCGCAUACUGCGCAUGCGCUGUUGCUAGGCGACACGUCACGCAUGCGCAUUAGUCCCGUUGCCGUCCUUUAGCCCCGAAUACGCAUGCGCGGUUGCUAAGCAACCGAACACGCCGUCUCCAUAGCGAACCGCGCAUGCGCAGUGCGCGCCGGCGGCCGCCAUCUUGGGGCCUGGCCGCCAUUUUGGGUCGAUUCGGGGCAGUUUUGGGUUUUUGGGGUUAAAAAAGAGCAAUUUUGGAGGCACGGGUCGCCGUCUCGGGUUGUGGGUGGGGGUUUGGGGGCGGUCGGGACGUUAUGGGGGUGAAUUAAAGCCGUUUUGAGGUUAUUUGACUCCUUUUUGGUGCUGGAAUCCGUUUUGGGUCCAAAAAUGCCAUUUUUGGGCAAAUUACCCAAUUUUGGUAACCAUGGAUCCAUUUUAGGCCCCAAAAUACCAUUUUUUGGGAACCAGAAUCCAUUUUGGGGUCCAAAAUACCAUUUUUUGGGGUCAUUUUGUCCCUUUUUGGUGCUGGAAUCCAUUUUAGGCCCAAAAAUGCCAUUUUUGAGGUAAAUUUCUCCAUUUUUGGGUCAAAAAAUGCCAUUUUUGGAGGUCAUUUUAUCCCUUUUUGGUGCUGGAAUCCAUUUUAGGCCCCCAAAAUGCCAUUUUUGAGGUAAAUUCCUCCAUUUUGGGUCAAAAAUGCCAUUUUGGGGGGUCAUUUUGUCCCUUUUUGGUGCUGGAAUCCAUUUUAGGCCCCAAAAAUGCCAUUUUUGAGGUAAAUUCCUCCAUUUUGGGUCCAAAAAUGCCAUUUUUGAGGUCAUUCGUUCCCAUUUUUGGUGCUGGAAUCCAUUUUAGGCCCCAAAAAUGCCAUUUUUGAGGUAAAUUCCUCCAUUUUUGGGUCAAAAAAUGCCAUUUUGGGGGGUCAUUUUGCCCCUUUUUGGUGCUGGAAUCCAUUUUAGGCCCCAAAAUGCCAUUUUUGAGGUAAAUUCCUCCAUUUUGGGUCCAAAAAUGCCAUUUUUGGGGUCAUUCGUUCCCAUUUUUGGGGGUGAAUUCCUCCAUUUUGGUUCUGAAAAAUGCCAUUUUUGGGUCAUUCGUUCCCAUUUUUUUCGCACCAAACCCCAUUUUGAGUCCAAAAAUGCCAUUUUUGGGCAUAAAUCCCUCCAUUUUGGGUCCAAAAAUGCCAUUUUUGGGUCAUUUGUUCCCAUUUUUUCCGCACCAAAACCCAUUUUGGGUCCAAAAAUGGCACUUCGGGGUCAUUCGGUCCCAUUUUUGGGGUGAAUUCCUCCAUUUUGAGUCCAAAAAAUGCCAUUUUUGGGUCAUUUGGUCCCAUUUUUUGGGGUACAAAACCCCAUUUUGAGUCCAAAAAUGCCAUUUUUGGGUCAUUCGUUCCCAUUUUUUUUUCGCACCGAAUCCCAUUUUGGGUCCAAAAAUGGCAUUUUUGGGUCAUUUG
ensembl:lncRNA